rnacentral:ncRNA from 2 species
GAAGACCACUAGGGGAGCCAUUUUUUGGCUGAGACAGAGUUGCUCUGGACCCUUUGAACCUGAUCUAGUUUGUACUAGCGUAGGAAAGUGGAGUUCGCGCACG